UCGAGAAUCAUUCGCAAUGGGGGAAACCCUGACGGUGCGACGCCGCGUGAAGGAUGAAGGUCUUCGGAUCGUAAACUUCUGUCAUGAGGGGGUAAGAAGAUAAGUUUAAGAGAUGUAUCUUUUGAUAGUACCUCAAGAGGAAGGGACGGCUAACUCUGUGCCAGCAGCCGCGGUAAUACAGAGGUCCCGAGCGUUGUUCGGAUUCAUUGGGCGUAAAGGGUGCGUAGGCGGCUUUGUAAGUCGGAUGUGAAAUUUUCGGGCUCAACCCGGGAACUGCAUUCGAUACUGCAGAGCUUGAGGACUGGAGAGGAGACUGGAAUUCAUGGUGUAGCAGUGAAAUGCGUAGAUAUCAUGAGGAAGACCGGUGGCGAAGGCGGGUCUCUGGACAGAUCCUGACGCUGAGGCACGAAGGCCAGGGGAGCAAACGG
rnacentral:rRNA from 1 species